rnacentral:rRNA from 1 species
GACGAACGCUGGCGGCGUGCUUAACACAUGCAAGUCGAACGGAAAGGCCCUGCUUUUGUGGGGUGCUCGAGUGGCGAACGGGUGAGUAACACGUGAGUAACCUGCCCUUGACUUUGGGAUAACUUCAGGAAACUGGGGCUAAUACCGGAUAGGAGCUCCUGCUGCAUGGUGGGGGUUGGAAAGUUUCGGCGGUUGGGGAUGGACUCGCGGCUUAUCAGCUUGUUGGUGGGGUAGUGGCUUACCAAGGCUUUGACGGGUAGCCGGCCUGAGAGGGUGACCGGCCACAUUGGGACUGAGCUACGGCCCAGACUCCUACGGGAGGCAGCAGUGGGGAAUAGUGCACAAUGGGCGGAAGCCUGAUGCAGCAACGCCGCGUGCGGGAUGACGGCCUUCGGGUUGUAAACCACUUUCGCCUGUGACGAAGCGUGAGUGACGGUAAUGGGUAAAGAAGCACCGGCUAACUACGUG